UUACGGCGAUAUCACGUUGAAACAUCGCUCCCCGUACGCCCACUGAAGUUAAGCAACGUCGAGGCUGGUCAGUAUCUAGAUGGGUGACAGCUUAGGAAUACCAGGAGCUGUAAG